AUUGAACGCUGGCGGCAGGCCUAACACAUGCAAGUCGAGCGAGCGGCGGACGGGUGAGUAAUGUCUGGGAAACUGCCUGAUGGAGGGGGAUAACUACUGGAAACGGUAGCUAAUACCGCAUACCAUCAGAUGUGCCCAGAUGGGAUUCGCUGGUGGGUGGGGUAACGGCUCACCUGGGCGACGCUCCCUAGCUGGUCUGAGAGGAUGACCAGCCACACGGGAACUGAGACACGGUCCCGACUCCUACGGGAGGAAGCAGUGGGGAAUAGUGGAAAAUGGGCGCAAGCCUGAUGCAGCCAUGCCGCGUGUAUGAAGAAGGCCUUCGGGUUGUAAAGUACUUUCAGCGGGGAGGCGUUACCCGCAGAAGAAGCACCGGCUAACGCCGUGCCAGCCGCCGCGGUAAUAC
rnacentral:rRNA from 1 species